AUUGAACGCUGGCGGUAGGCCUAACACAUGCAAGUCGAGCGGAUGAAGGGAGCUUGCUCCUGGAUUCAGCUGCGGACGGGUGAGUAAUUCCUAGGAAUCUGCCUAUCAGUUGGGGAUAACGUCCGGAAACGGGCGCUAAUACCGCAUACGUCCUGAGGGAGAAAGUGGGGGAUCUUCGGACCUCACGCUAUCAGAUGAGCCUAGGUCGGAUUAGCUAGUUGGUGGGGUAAAGGCCUACCAAGGCGACGAUCCGUAACUGGUCUGAGAGGAUGAUCAGUCACACUGGAACUGAGACACGGUCCAGACUCCGACGGGAGGCAGCAGUGGGGAAUAUUGGACAAUGGGCGAAAGCCUGAUCCAGCCAUGCCGCGUGUGUGAAGAAGGUCUUCGGAUUGUAAAGCCCUUUAAGUUGGGAAGAAGGGCAGUAAGUUAAUACCUUGCUGUUUUGACGUUACCAAAAGAAUAAGCACCGGCUAACUUCGUG
rnacentral:rRNA from 1 species